rnacentral:lncRNA from 1 species
CCAUUUUUUCUCCAAAAAAAAGAUUUCAAGUAGUAAUAUAUAAAAAUUUAAUAUUCAAAGUUAAAAAUUAAUGUCAAUAAUGAAGGGUCACAAAAAUUAUCGAAGGUCAAAGUUAUCUUGGUACCUUGGAAACCCGUAGGAGGUCCAAUUGUUGCGUAAUCUUCUGCGAUUGAUUCCCAAGAUGAUACUGAAAAAUGUGGACUUUUGAGUUAGAAAGAAAAUUUAGAAUCAGUUUACUACAGCUGGACAUAUCAGAAUUAAAUUUGAAGAAGGUUUACACAUUUAAUAAAUCAAUUGAAGCUCUAUCUCAUGUUUUGAUUGAAAUUUUUACUACCCUCCAUUUGAAAAAGCGUCAUAUUUUGUUGUUGCAAUGAUAUAAAACAACUUUGUCUUUGUAUCAUAAGAUCAUUGCCAUAUUAAUACAAACCAACAUUAUUUACUUCUGAAAUUGCUUCUACUAAUCACCAACCAUUACUUCUAUUACACCCCCCCCAAAAAAAAAAAUAUAAUAAUAAUAAUAACUUUACUUCAUUAAGACCAUGAAUGUGAGCAAUGUGAUGCCUACUUGUGGUAUUGUAGCAGACUCCCAAGAAUUUAGCUCAAAUUUUAAACCCCAGACAAUUUUUCAUGUAUGACACUCACAUACAAUCAGCUAAUGCCUUAGUUACAUGGACUUGGAUGGAGUGUCCGUUCGGACUCAUGUACUUUAAAGAGUCUAACACAAACACUCCUCAAUUUCACCAAAAUUUAGAACUAUAAUGAAAUGUCCAACACACACCCAUAUCCUAGUGUCGACUAUCUGACACAAAUACGUUAGGAUAAAAUGAAGAGUCCAUGUAGCAUCAACCUAAUGCUUCAAAGAAGCUUCAACUGUGGACUAAAAGCUUGGACAUAUAUAAAUUAUCUACCAAUAGUUCGCCAAAGCGAAUAAGCAUCAACUUUCAUCUUCAAAAGCAUUAUGAAAGCUUCAUUAGUGCUAAUUAUUUUAAACCUCCUAAACAUGUUAUUCAUGCCAAUUUUGUUGGACAUAGUCAAAACCAAACAUGUGCAAAAAGUGGAUAACAAAUGUUCCUUUACUCCAAAGUAGAUGUAAUUACCUUUCUCAUGACUUUCAUGGUAUGUGUGGUGGUCAUCAUACUCUCCAUAUACAACCUGUACCACCAACUCAAAUUAAUCACAUAUUUUGGUGCACUUUUUGAAGUCAAUUUAGAAAUCAGAAAAUUCAAAUCAAUACAAAUUUAUUAGAUUUUAGUACAAACAACUAUAAUUAUUAUAAAAUAACUAAAGGGUACUAAAGAAUCAAUUUUGAAUUUUAGAAUUUUGCAUAUGGACUCUAAAAUGUCAAAAUAUUGCAUACAAUUUCGUAAAAGUAUAACAUCAUAAAUGAUCCAAUUGAAGCCAAAAAUUAAGAAAAUGAAAAUAUAUACCUUAACAUCGAUGCAACUAGUUUCUUGUAAAAAGCGUGUCCAAUCUUGCUUACCAAUGUUACUCUGUAAUACUCUACAAAACCAAGUUCUACAAAUAUUGGAAUAAUUUCAUUGUGAAAUCAUUGUAACCAAUUAAGUAAUUAACAAAAUAAAACUCAAACUAAUACAUCAAAUAUGACCUUAACUAAGUUCAAAUAAGAAUAACUAAAACAUCAAAUAAAACCUCACCUUUUACUUUGUAAGCUACAACUUCUCAGCAAUUGAUAUCUUAAGAGGUCGAAACCCUAACCUAUGUUCCCUUGACUUACUGAGACUAAGAAAGAGUGGGUAAUACAAAGGAAUAUAGAAACCCUAGAGCGAGAGAGACAUGGGAGAAAAGUGGGUAAUAUAGAUGUGUGCCCACCUACUUGGGGAACUUCUGCAAGUAAAAAAAAAUUAAAAGUUGUUAUAGUUAAAGAAAGCUCUUGCUCUUAUAUUGCCUGUUAUGAGAAUGGAGUUGAUAAAAAAUGACUAUAAAAAACCAAACUUAAGCUUUGAAAUUUGUUUCUCAUAUAAUUUUUUCCAACAAAAUAAAGGAUAAGAAUAUGUCACAAAAAUCUUUAGCAUUACUUGAAGACGACGAAUGACAACAGGGUUUAUUCCAGUCAGCAUUUCUCUUGCAAAUUCUUCAUUAGUCCUUCAGGUAGGCUAAUUCUCUGCUUAAAAACAUCAAAUGCAAAAUUAAAUUAUUAAAGUUAAAUUAAGAAAUCAAAUAAUGUCAACAAAACUAUUGAAGUGACAGUUUCUUGUUAUACCUUUUAGAAAAAUUAUUGAAGUGACUGUAAAUUGUUGAAUACCUUAAAGUUGACAAUUUUAAAAUAUCUCUUCCACAAAACACUCAUAGCCAUUGGCUAACAAAUUGUCACAAUUUCAAGCUAAUAUAACAACUACUUCAAAAAGUUCUUAUGGUGGUGACAAAUAAAAUUGAGGACAGUAAGGAAUUCGCUUCAUAGAUGCUUUUGAGGGUGAAAAGAAUAAAAUUGAUUGUUUUCUCAUAAAAAAAUUCCAAGAGUGGAGAACCAUUCAGGUGUUCUACCCCUUCUUGCAAAUACUUAAUCUUUAGAUUAUACUAUAGUAAGGGAUUUUGCCCAAAUUCAAACUUGUCGGUGGCUGCCCCAUCUCGAAUUCGUUGCUAUCUAUUAUUCUCUCCAACACUAUCAAUUUAAUUUCUAAUUUCUAACAAUCAAUAUAAAGCAAGGGAAUUUUUUUGUUUAAUGAAAAAAUAAAAUCUGCUCAACAUUGAAACAAAAAGCAAAAUCAAAUCUUUGAAUGCAUACAAAAUAUAUAAAUUGCAAGAGCUGCUAAAGUAUAAAUAAUCACUUUCUAAACAAAAAGAUAACAUAGAAAGCAAAUAACCUGCUUUUAGAGGAUUUCAAGCAAGAAAUGUCCAGAACAGUUGACUUAAAUCAGCUAAUGUAUUCAUUAAGUACAAAAUUAUUCUCAAUAGAUUUCUACCCAAUCCAUUUCAACUAUACAAAUCUAUUUACAAAUUAUUCUCUAUCUAAAACAACCCAUGUAUUCAUUAAGCACAAAAUUAAAGAAAAGGCAAACCCACAUAAAUAUAUACAUUCAAUGCAAUAAAGGAUAAUGAUAAGAGAGAUAACAAUCAAACCUUAGUUCCUCUAUCAAAAAAAUUGGGCCGACAGAGAGCAGAAUAAAUAGCUUUCUUACACAAUUUGGAAGGAAUUUUUUUAAACAAUCUUCGAAUGAUAGCCGACAGAUCUUAUGUGGGUUCAUAUACUCAAGAACAGAAGCCACAACACUCUCGUGUAAAUCGCCGAGAUUGGGUUCCGGCGACGAAGCUGAGGACACCUUCGUGUGAAAAUAAAAGAAAAACCAGAACCCAUUAAAGCAUCAGCCUGAAAAUCAAGGUUUUGAACAGGGGAAGAGGGAAGAGGGAAGUGUGGCGUUGCCUGAAUUCUUCUUCUGCUUCUUCGAAAGAAAGAGACAAAGAGGGGAAUGAAUAGUUUUUGGAAAGGUAUACAGAGCAGGGUGUAAUUGGAGGAGAGUACAAAGGGAAGGAGGUUGGACUUGGU